rnacentral:rRNA from 1 species
GGGCCCGCACAAGCGGUGGAGCAUGUGGUUUAAUUCGAUGAUACGCGAGGAACCUUACCAGGGCUUAAAUGUAGUCUGACAGGUCUGGAAACAGACUUUUCUUCGGACAGAUUACAAGGUGCUGCAUGGUUGUCGUCAGCUCGUGCCGUGAGGUGUCAGGUUAAGUCCUAUAACGAGCGCAACCCCUGUGGUUAGUUGCCAGCGAGUAAUGUCGGGAACUCUAGCCAGACUGCCGGUGCAAACCGCGAGGAAGGUGGGGAUGACGUCAAAUCAUCACGGCCCUUACGUCCUGGGCCACACACGUGCUACAAUGGUAGGGACAGAGAGCAGCCACUUCGCGAGAAGGAGCGAAUCUACAAACCCUAUCACAGUUCGGAUCGCAGUCUGCAACUCGACUGCGUGAAGCUGGAAUCGCUAGUAAUCG